UCAAUUUUACAGGUUAAAGACAAAUUUAAUUUUUUAUAGAUCCGUUGAAUAACAAUAUAAAGAAUAAUUUGCUAUAGAAAGAGAUAUUAGAGUAAAACAGAGGUAAUGUCUAGAUGAAUCGACUCAAAUUCAGUGUGAUGGUUAAACUUAUCUAUACUCUGUUUUUAUGAUAUAUAUAAGUAAUACAAAAUAGACAUUUAUGCCUGAAGAAAACGAGGAUCCAGGAUGCAUUUUUAAAAGAUGCAAAAAUAAGCGUCCAGGAGUCUUCCGCGCUAUUCUAAUAAUAACAUGUACACUUCUUAUUAUUUCUAUUGUAAUUAUCUUUUUCCGUUCUUAAACAAUACAGAGAAUAAAACUAAA